ACCCAAAAUUAAAGCUGAUAACACCUCCGAGACGGUCAGAUAUAUAAACGGAACGACGUGAAGCAACGUCUAAACUUGGCGGCAAAAAGCGAUUAAUAACUUUUCCGGCAACGAAUCACAUGCGCCGGUGCGGUCGCGCAUUCUCUUUCUCCGUUCGAACUCCGGCAACCCGUCGACUCAGCACUCAGAAGCCUCCAUUUUCGUGAUUCAUGGAGCUCAGAGAGGAGAAGAUGGCUGAGGCGGUGAUUGAUAAUGCGGCCAGGCAUGUUGGUCCAGACCAGCUGAGACUGAUGCAGAUCAGCUUCGAGCGUCGAGCGAGGACCUUACUCUGGCUUGAAGAAAUGAACUGGUAUUCCGAUAGUCACAAUACUCCAAAUUGCUGCAACAAUGAUAAGAGUGCUGAGGAUCAUCCCAGUCAUUCCCAGGACUCCGUUGAUGAGCCACAUUGCGCUAUAUCUCUGGGGUUUCUUGAUAAGAAUCCACAUCAAACAAGGAUAUGCUAGAGUGAUUGGCAAAGCAAUUCCUCCGAUCAACCCAGCCAGGUUUGGCAGGAAGGGGAAUGCCACUGAUAUAAAGAAUGCGAGGCAUCCGAAGAAGACGCGCAAGCCUGAUCGCAGCCACUGAGGGCAUGGCUUGUUCUUGUUAGAGCCGCCUAUUGCAAGGGGAAACAAACACAUUCCGAUUGCUAGAUAGGCGAAUUUCACUCCUCCCCACAUUGCUUUGCGAGACGGCUUUUGCGGACUUGAAGGCAUAGUUCCCUGCUUUCAGCAAAAGAUAAUGUCAGCACAUUCACCAAUACGACUUGUUUUAGAUCAAGUAAGAUUCAACCUGAGCGAUGUCGGAUUUUGCCUUCAGUGGCUUAUAUGACACACCUUCAGGCCUUGCUCGGCUUAUGGACAGUACCCAUAUUAAGGUGCAGUAGCCGAUUGCGGUGAUGGCCCCCACAAGUGAAACUCCAGCAAUUGAGUUCAAGUUGGGAAGCUGUGCGAUAAUGAUGGCACAGCAAGUGAAUACCAGCGGCUCAGUCCAGGCUAUUAUUGUGGUACUUACCGAAAGCAGCCAUCGAGAGUCGGAGGUAUCUACUAUAACGUAUCCCCGCUUUAGAUUCAUGUAGUUCAAUUAAUACCCAUAGAGUGUAGAGCUGCCAUGUGAA